UAUGAAAUGGCAGAAUUAAUGCAUAAACUUUAAGCGUUUAGCAUGACCACCUAGGUCUUUCAUAG
rnacentral:tRNA from 1 species